rnacentral:lncRNA from 1 species
GCUGCUGCGAGUGAUGCCUGUAACCCCAGAUCCCAUGAGGUGGCAGUGUCACCAUUGCCCCAGCCCAGAGUCAUUUCAAGGAGGAGCAGGUCACUUCCUGAUUCCCAAAGCAUCUGCCUGUACCAUUGAAAACUUAUUCCUGCUCAGCCACACACUGAGGAAAGGCCAUAUGAGCACACAGGAAGAAGACUGCCAUCUGCAAAUCAGGAAGACAAUCAUCAUCAAGAAGUUACCAUGCUGGCACCCCGAACUUGGACUUCCGACAUCCAGAACUGUGGGAAAAUAAAUUUCUGUUGUUUAAGC